AAAUCUUGUGAUGUAUAUUCGAAAUCUUGUGAUGUAUGUUCGAUAAUCUUGUGAUGUAUAUUCGAAAUCUUGUGAUGUAUGUUCGAUAAUCUUGUGAUGUAGAUUCGAAAUCUUGUGAUGUGUGUUCUACAAUUCAGUGAUGCGUGCAAUAAAAUUGCAUGACGCAACAGAAAAGUAAGGACAAUUUUCAUUGGUUAGAAAUAACGAAAGUAGCCGGAGUGGUCGUAAUGCACACACUGACACAACUUCGCAAGCAUGAAAUUGGCGAAUUCAACCUAAAGUCAAAAUUAUAGGUAAUAGAAAAAUUCAUGAUCGAUGUAACUUCCUCGAUGGUGUGUUGGCUGUUUGCCCAUGUGUAUUUCGGGGUAUAGGAGUAGCCUCCCCUUUUAAAGAUCCAAAAUGGUGAUUUUACAGUGCGGCAUGCAGUCUGGUUAUCAACGAAGAGUUUUGACACCUGUAAUACCCAUAUUUCCACCAUUCACCUCUGUAACCUUUGUUGAGUUCAUC